UGGGGGAUAUUGCGCAAUGGAGGCAACUCUGACGCAGCAACGCCGCGUGAAGGAAGAAGGUCUUCGGAUUGUAAACUUUUGUCUUUGGGGAAGAAAAAAAUGACGGUACCCAAGGAGGAAGCCACGGCUAACUACGUGCCAGCAGCCGCGGUAAUACGUAGGUGGCAAGCGUUGUCCGGAUUUACUGGGUGUAAAGGGCGUGUAGGCGGGAAGGCAGGUCAGAUGUGAAAUACCGAGGCUCAACUUCGGAACUGCAUUUGAAACCGUUUUUCUUGAGUGAUGGAGAGGUAAGUGGAAUUCCUAGUGUAGCGGUGAAAUGCGUAGAUAUUAGGAGGAACACCAGUGGCGAAGGCGACUUACUGGACAUCAACUGACGCUGAGGCGCGAAAGCGUGGGGAGCAAACA
rnacentral:rRNA from 1 species